rnacentral:rRNA from 1 species
GAUGAACGCUAGCGGCAGGCUUAAUACAUGCAAGUCGAGGGGCAGCAGGUCUGUAGCAAUACAGAUGCUGGCGACCGGCAAACGGGUGCGGAACACGUACAGAACCUUCCUUCGAGCGGGGAAUAGCCCAGAGAAAUUUGGAUUAAUACCCCAUAGUACAUUGAAGAGGCAUCUCUUUAAUAUUAAAGAUUAUCACUUGAAGAUGGCUGUGCGGCUGAUUAGGUAGUUGGCGGGGUAACGGCCCACCAAGCUCCGAUCAGUAACUGGUGUGAGAGCACGACCAGUNACACGGGCACUGAGACACGGGCCUNA